ensembl:miRNA
AUUCGCGGUGACUUGGAUGGAGGCUGAGGGGAACUGCGCGCUCCUCCAACUCGUUCUGUCCGGUGAGAAGUGAUCGA